UGCUUCUGCUAUGGUUUGGCCUCUGCUUAUUAGCUAGCUUAGCUAAACAGUCCAAAUUCUUUCCUGGACUCUUUCUCCUCUCCUGUUUCUGUGACCAUCUGAACCUGCUCCGGACUGGGACCCGGGAACACCGAGGGUUUGCACCGUGUGGCUGCAGCUGCUGCCCCAGCGCCGGAGGGACUGAGAACAGUGCAACCACCCCCGAAGGAGACUUUCUGAUUUUGUCAUCUUUCUCAGAGCGGUGUCAUCGGGUAUUGUUCAUUUUGUGUGCUGGGGGGUGCUGGGCCAGUCAAAUAAACAGGUUCUUUCCACCUCUCUCCAAGGAAUGCUUCCCGAACCAGUUGGGGGGAAGGGGCCGUGUGCGUUUGCUUUUGUGAAGGGGCCCUCCUUUGCAGAUUCUUCAACAAAUGUGCCCUAAACCAGGACAACUGUCAAGCUUUUAAUGCAUGCCUGCUUAGAAUGAGCAUCUCUCUUCAUGUAAUUGAUCCAACAAAAAGUUGUAUCUGAAAUCCAGCGCAGUCACUGGCUUCAGCAAGACCAGCACUACCCCAAAGCUCUGACAUGGCCAGUCCAUAGGCAGGAUGAAGGUUUCUCCCCAGCUCUGUACAAUGCCCCUCUGUCCAUCCAUCCUUACUGCAUGACUGAGCAGAGCUGCACAUGAGCCAGCAAUGUGCCCUUUCUUCUUCCUGGGCUGCAUCAAAGGCAGUGUGGCCAGCAAGUUGAGGGAGAUGAUUCUGCCCCUCUCCUGUGCUCUGGUGAGACCCCAGCUGGAGUGCUGCAUCCAGCUCUGCCUCAUGCUCAGCACAGGGACUGGAGUAAAUCUGGCCCUGCUCAGGAACUGGCUGGCCAGCAGUCAGCAGGUGGUGAGCAAUUGCAUUGUGCGUCACUUGUUUUGU